GGAGCCUACGGGGCGCAGCAGUGGGGGAUAUUGCACAAUGGGGGCAACCCUGAUGCAGCGACGCCGCGUGAGCGAUGGAGUACUUCGGUAUGUAAAGCUCUGUCAGCAGGGAAGAGAAUGACGGUACCUGACCAAGAAGCCCCGGCUAAAUACGUGCCAGCAGCCGCGGUAAUACGUAUGGGGCAAGCGUUAUCCGGAUUUACUGGGUGUAAAGGGAGCGUAGACGGCAGGGCAAGUCUGGAGUGAAAGCCCGGGGCCCAACCCCGGGACUGCUUUGGAAACUGCCAUGCUGGAGUGCUGGAGAG
rnacentral:rRNA from 1 species